GCUCCAGUGGCGCAAUCGGUGAGCGCGCGGUACUUAUAAUGCCGAGGUUGUGAGUUCAAGCCUCACCUGGAGCA